GAUGAACGCUGGCGGCGUGCCUAAUACAUGCAAGUCGAGCGAACAGACGAGGAGCUUGCUCCUCUGACGUUAGCGGCGGACGGGUGAGUAACACGUGGAUAACCUACCUAUAAGACUGGGAUAACUUCGGGAAACCGGAGCUAAUACCGGAUAAUAUAUUGAACCGCAUGGUUCAAUAGUGAAAGACGGUUUUGCUGUCACUUAUAGAUGGAUCCGCGCCGCAUUAGCUAGUUGGUAAGGUAACGGCUUACCAAGGCGACGAUGCGUAGCCGACCUGAGGGGGGCGCCGACCCACACGGGAGCUGAGACAGGCCCAAGCCCCCGGGGGGAGGAAGAGGGGGGGAUUUUGCGAAAAGGGGCGAAAGCCGGAGGAAGCACGGCGGGGUGGGGAAAGAAGUCUUCGGGGUUGAAAAGCAUUUUUGUGGGGAAAAAAAAAUUUGGAUGUAAUACAGCCGGUCGGGGGGGGUACUAGAAGAAAACCCACCGGCAAACUGCGU
rnacentral:rRNA from 1 species